rnacentral:rRNA from 1 species
UACGAAGGGGGGCUAGCGUUGUUCGGAAUUACUGGGGCGUAAAGGGGCGCGUAGGCGGUCCUGAUCGUCGGAUGUGAAAGGCCUGGGGCUCAACCUGGGGAACUGCGUCUGGUACUGGAUGGCUUGAAUCCGGGAGAGGGAUGCAGAAUUCCAGGUGUAGCGGUGAAAUGCGUAGAUAUCUGGAGGAAUACCGGUGGCGAAGGCGGCAUCCUGGACCGGCAUUGACGCUGAGGAGCGAAAGCUAGGGGGAGCAAACGGG